GCUCUAGUUCACUAUGUAGUGCCCUGGUCCAAAGUAGUGCACUACAUAAGGAAUAGGGCUCUAGUUUGCUGUGUAGGGUCCUGGUUCAAAGUAGUGCACUACAUAAGGAAUAGGGCUCUAGUUCACUAUGUAGUGCCCUGGUCCAAAGUAGUGCACUACAUAAGGAAUAGGGCUCUAGUUCACUAUGUAGUGCCCUGGUCCAAAGUAGUGCACUACAUAAGGAAUAGGGCUCUAGUUUGCUGUGUAGGGUCCUGGUUCAAAGUAGUGCACUACAUAAGGAAUAGGGCUCUAGUUCACUAUGUAUUGCCCUGGUUCAAAGUAGUGCACUACAUAAGGAAUAUGGCUCUAGUUUGCUGUGUAGGGUCCUGGUCCAAAGUAGUGCACUACAUAAGGAAUAGGGCUCUAGUUCACUUUGUAGUGCCCUGGUCCAAAGUAGUGCACUACACAAGGAAUAGGGCUCUAGUUUGCUGUGUAGGGUCCUGGUCCAAAGUAGUGCACUACAUAAGGAAUAGGGCUCUAGUUUGCUGUGUAGGGUCCUGGUCCAAAGUAGUGCACUACAUAAGGAAUAGGGCUCUAGUUCACUAUGUAGUGCCCUGGUCCAAAGUAGUGCACUACAUAAGGAAUAAGGCUCUAGUUCACUAUGUAGGGUCCUGGUCCAAAGUAGUGCACUACAUAAGGAAUAGGGCUCUAGUUCACUUUGUAGUGCCCUGGUCCAAAGUAGUGCACUACAUAAGAAAUAGGGCUCUAGUUCACUAUGUAGUGCCCUGGUCCAAAGUAGUGCACUACAUAAGGAAUAGGACUCUAGUUCACUAUGUAGGGUCCUGGUCCAAAGUAGUGCACUACAUAAGGAAUAGGGCUCUAGUUCGCUGUGUAGGGUCCUGGUCCAAUGUAGUGCACUACAUAAGGAAUAGGGCUCUAGUUCACUUUGUAGUGCCCUGGUCCAAUGUAGUGCACUACAUAAGGAAUAGGGCUCUAGUUCACUAUGUAGGGUCCUGGUCCAAAGUAGUGCACUACAUAAGGAAUAGGGCACUAGUUCACUAUGUAGGGUUGAUAGGCAACCGAUGGACUCCAGUUCCCUGGUUACAAGCACUACAGGUAGGGAAUAUGGUGCCCACACUUUGGGAAGCAGGCAGUACAUCUGUAGUGAGUCCAACCCAGUCACAACAGAGAACACAGUCAAAACACAUAACAACAUUAAAACAGGGUCGGCCUGAAUUCCAACUG
rnacentral:lncRNA from 1 species